rnacentral:rRNA from 1 species
CAUCUAUUGAUAAGUUAAACUGAGGUGGUAUAGGAUGGGCAUGCGUCUGAUUAGUUAGUUGGCGGGUAAUGGCCCCACCAAGACGAUGAUCAGUAGGGGUUCUGAGAGGAAGAUCCCCCACACUGGCACUGAGAUACGGGCCAGACUCCUACGGGAGGCAGCAGUAGGGAAUAUUGGUCAAUGGAUGCAAGUCUGAACCAGCCAUGCCGCGUGCAGGAAGAAGGCCUUCUGGGUUGUAAACUGCUUUUGCCAGGGGAUAAAAUUUCCAUGCGUGGAAAACUGAAGGUACCUGGUGAAUAAGCCACGGCUAACUACGUG